UAUAUUUAUAACUAUCUAUUCUAUCUUAUUUAUUCAAACGCUAUUUUUUUAUUUCCGGAAACAAUCAAAUUUUCAUCCAAACACAAAAUUGGUUUAGUUCUCGCUUAUACCUAAACUUAUACCUAUCUCUGGUAUAAGCUAGUUCUUACUUAUACCUGAACCAAACAAAGUCUUAAUGAACUUGCUUAUUUGUUUGAUAUAGUCCUUCGUAUGCCCAUCAUGAAUAUAAAA
rnacentral:lncRNA from 1 species